rnacentral:rRNA from 1 species
AGUUCGUGGAGUGAUCUGUCUGCUUAAUUGCGUUUCAAAAUUUAAACCUGAGCGACAAGGUGCUGCUAUCGAAACUGUCUUUGAGUGUGAACUAUAAGUCUUUUGACUUAUGACCAUCACUCUAGACGUUUAUGUUUUGGUGUUGGCCCUUGAUGCUCAUUUGAACGCAACGGACGUGAUUGCAACCCCUUGUUGAGAUUUAUCCGAUCUCUACGUUCACUGAACCACACUCUUUAGCGAGAGCAGUGGGGAUGUGGAUAAACUCGGGGGACUGCUGACUAUAAACUUUUCUCAAACCAGAGGAAGGUUGCGGCAAUAACAGGUCUGUGAUGCCCUCAGAUGUUCCGGGCUGCACACGUGCUACAUUUAGUAGCGCAGUGUGCACAUUAAUAGAGUGAUAGGUUCCGUGGUUUGUACAUUUUAAGGGCUCGUCCUAGUAACCAAAGCUCCACGGGACAUAUCAACCUUCCCCUUACAGGGCGGGUAACCUCUUCGAAGUGCUGGCAUGAUUUCCCUAGUUUUGGCAUUUGAAUCCUUGUCGCAGCAGCCCUGAGACGUAGUGAACGCUGCAAAGUGAUUCCAGUCUUAGGUUUGCGACACAUGCAAUUCCUGGUUGACUCAUCGUGGGGA